UUGCACCUUUUGAUAGAAAAGGUUCCUCUAGUUGUUUGUGGAUCCUUGAUUCAAGGUGCACAAAGAAAAUGCUGUUCUACAGCAGCGGCCAGACAACCGUAGAGAUGGAUCCACUGAUGUUUAGUUGACAAUACUAUUCAUCUACUAAAUCUUUCUCACAUUC